rnacentral:rRNA from 1 species
GACGUAGGGGGCCAGCGUUGCUCGGAAUUACUGGGCGUAAAGGGUUCGUAGGCGGUGUGGCAAGUCGGUAGUGAAAUCUCCAGGCUUAACUUGGAGGCUGCUGCCGAAACUGCCGUGCUAGAGUGCAGGAGAGGCGAGUGGAAUUACAGGUGUAGCGGUGAAAUGCGUAGAUAUCGGGAGGAACACCGGUGGCGAAGGCGGUUCUCUGGGCCUGACCUGACGCUGAGGAGCGAAAGCGUGGGGAGCGAACAGG